rnacentral:rRNA from 1 species
AUUGUACGCUGGCGGCAGGCUUAACACAUGCGAGUCGAGCGGAGAUGAGGUGCUUGCACCUUAUCUUAGCGGCGGACGGGUGAGUAAUGCUUAGGAAUCUGCCUAUUAGUGGGGGACAACAUUCCGAAAGGAAUGCUAAUACCGCAUACGUCCUACGGGAGAAAGCAGGGGAUCUUCGGACCUUGCGCUAAUAGAUGAGCCUAAGUCGGAUUAGCUAGUUGGUGGGGUAAAGGCCUACCAAGGCGACGAUCUGUAGCGGGUCUGAGAGGAUGAUCCGCCACACUGGGACUGAGACACGGCCCAGACUCCUACGGGAGGCAGCAGUGGGGAAUAUUGGACAAUGGGGGGAACCCUGAUCCAGCCAUGCCGCGUGUGUGAAGAAGGCCUUAUGGUUGUAAAGCACUUUAAGCGAGGAGGAGGCUACUGAGACUAAUACUCUUGGAUAGUGGACGUUACUCGCAGAAUAAGCACCGGCUAACUCUGUGCCAGCCGCCGCCGUAAAAC